rnacentral:misc_RNA from 1 species
GAUGAAGAACGCAGCGAAAUGCGAUAAGUAAUGUGAAUUGCAGAAUUUAGUGAAUCAUCGAAUCUUUGAACGCACAUUGCGCCCCCUGGAAUUCCGGGGGGCAUGCCUGUUCGAGCGUCUCAGGGACGAACCCUCGCGCGGGUGUACGCGCGGUCGUGGCUGCGGUGGCGUGCCCGAGGCGGCGGCCACCGCGCUGGAAUCCAUGGGCGGACGCCUGCCGCGUGGCCGAGCGUGAUAUGACGCAUUGGCGCUCGCACGCGGAGAGGCUGCCAGCCCUGGCCCGUCUGUCGGGCGGGGGAGAGCAAGACACGUGAACUCCUCGAAUCAGGUAGGGAUACCCGCUGAACUUAAGCAUAUCAAUAAGCGGAGGA